rnacentral:misc_RNA from 1 species
CCCCUUUCUCUCUCUUCCCCCUCAUCGUUCCCAACCCCCGCGGCGGCGCCAAUGACGACGGAGAAGGAGAGGGAGAAUCACGUCUACCUCGCUAAGCUCGCCGAGCAGGCGGAGCGAUACGACGAAAUGGUUGAGAGCAUGAAGAAUGUUGCUCGACUUGAUUUGGAUCUGACUGUUGAGGAGAGGAACCUCCUUUCAGUGGGCUACAAGAAUGUUAUUGGGGCUCGCAGAGCAUCAUGGCGCAUUAUGUCCUCUAUUGAGCAGAAAGAGGAGUCAAAAGGGAAUGAUCAAAAUGUUAAACUUAUCAAAGGCUAUCGCCAUAAGGUUGAGGAGGAGCUCUCUAAGAUAUGCAAUGAUAUACUGACUGUCAUUGAUAAGCAUCUUAUUCCUUCUUCUGGCUCUGGGGAAGCCACUGUCUUCUACUACAAAAUGAAGGGUGAUUAUUACCGCUAUCUGGCUGAGUUUAAGAAUGAACAUGAAAGGAAAGAAGCUGCUGAUCAGUCGAUGAAAGCUUAUCAGGCUGCUUCCAACACAGCCAACACUGAUCUUCCCUCGACUCAUCCCAUUCGACUUGGGCUUGCUCUCAAUUUCUCAGUCUUCUAUUAUGAAAUCAUGAAUUCUCCUGAAAGGGCGUGCCAUUUAGCAAAGCAGGCCUUUGAUGAG